CACGCGGCCUGCUGUCUGAGGGGGACACACACAGGUCCCUGGACCAGCGCUGCCCUGCAGCUGAGGACCGUGAGCAGGACCCUCGCUGUGCAGCCUGGGGACUCCACCUGAGCACUGUGUGCUGGACUGUGACAGCAGUGACAGCUGCAGGGGCUGGGACUCAGCUCUCUGUGGAGCCUCCCCUCCCAGCCCGCAGUGCCACCUCCUGCCCAGCAGAGGGCACUGCGGUCACACGCCUCCCUCUCCUGCUGCCCCCUCUCCCACCUCCAGGUCCCAGCCAGGGCCCCUGAUGAGCAUCAGUGUCUCCCCUCUAGGAGCCUCUGGGAUCCCUGCUCCUUGUCCCUGCUCUUCCCUCCUUCUAAGCCCGAACCACGAUCCCUGGUGCCGGAAGGGUCUGUGGUUUCCAUGUUGCCCCCUUGGUAAAGGAGAGGCUUGGGGAGGCUCUCGCCGUCCUUUCCUGUCUUCAGGCCUGACGUGCAGCUGCUUGACGGAGCAAGCGAUGGAGGCAGGGAAAUGCCCAUGAUCUCGCCUGUGGGAACCUCCGGGAGAGGAGAUCUCCGUCUGUGUCCUCCUUUGUCACCUACAAGAUUCCAGUGGCCAGAACUGUCUCCUGACUCGCACCUGUCCCCGUGUGGUCAGUGCCUUCCUCUCUGUCCCCUGACAUGGCUCACUGCUCUCCCCUGUCCCCUUUUGGAAUCUCCGUGUGCCCAGUGUGGGAACAGAGUCUGUGCUGUGGCCGGCAUUUAAACACUCAGCUCCUCUGUCCCUCCUGGUUGCCAGGUCCCCUCCAGGCUUCUUCCUCUCCAUGAAUCCCGCUGGCUGCUGAGCGCCCACCGCAGCCCCGCUCUCCUCUCACAGAAUCCUGCCUUCUGCUUCUGCCCCCCUCGCCUGGCCUGACUUCCUCAGCGUCUGAACAUGUGACAUCUGCCACAAUCCUCUAGGUCACAUGUUGUCACGCUGGCCCAAUGGAUGCAUCUGCCCACAGCUGUUGUAUGGCCAGAGAGCUGGGAAGAACUUGUAUAUAAUUUUUUAUAACUGAUACCUAUAAUCUUGCCGUGGAUAGUGGUAUAGGGGCAUAAUCCAGCACUUUGGGAGACUGAGUAGAAGAAUGAUAAAUUUAAUCCCUGCCGGGGCAACUCAGUCUGUAUCUCAUAAUAAAAAAUGAAAGAAACA